UGGUGUGGUUGUCGCUGGCCCUCUUGGGGGCAUGUGCACACUUACCAUCCUCAUCUCUCCACCUGUGCACCUCUUGUAGAUUUGGAAUUGAUUAUCCGAGGCAACUCGGUCGUGAGGACUGCUAGCACUUAGCUGGCUUUCUUUGCAAUUCCAGGUCUAUGUUUUUCAUAUACCCCAUUGUAUGUAACAGAAUGUAUCAUUGGGCCCUUGUGCCUAUAAACCUUAUACAACUUUCAGCAACGGAUCUCUUGGCUCUCGCAUCGAUGAAGAACGCAGCGAAAUGCGAUAAGUAAUGUGAAUUGCAGAAUUCAGUGAAUCAUCGAAUCUUUGAACGCACCUUGCGCUCCUUGGUAUUCCGAGGAGCAUGCCUGUUUGAGUGUCAUUAAAUUCUCAACCAUUAUCAACUUUUGCUGAUAAUGGCUUGGAUGUGGGGGUCUAUUUUGCUGGCUUCUCAGAUAGUCAGCUCCCCUUAAAUGCAUUAGCCGGUGCCCCGCGUGGACUGUCUAUUGGUGUGAUAAUUAUCUACGCUAUAGACAUCUGCAAUCAUAUGGGUUUGCGCUGCUUCUAACAGUCUGUUGAUUCAGACAAUACAUGACAAUUUGACCUCAAAUCAGGUAGGACUACCCGCUGAACUUAAGCAUAUCAAUA
rnacentral:rRNA from 1 species